AUGGUGGCACUUCGAUAUGCGGCGAGGACACUUGGUCGAUUCACGCUCCGAAGACCACAGGGGUUCGGCAUCUCAUCGACUGCGGCAGAGGAUCAACAGCGGUUCCUGCCACGGCUCAUCAACACGAAUAUAUCAGCUCCAACGGCAGCUCCUUCGACUCCGACAGCCCCCCCGGAUGAUGACCCCUACACGGUCUUCACCAUGUACUACGGCCGUCAAGGGGAAGGGCAAGGCGCCGUGCCGGGCCUCACAGCUGAGCAACAAAAAGAUGUUGCAAGCCGCCUAGUGCAAAUCGAUGGGAAGAAAGAGGAGCUGUACAAUAUGAUUUCUGGCCUUGAAAGGAGCUACAACGUUAGUGGCAAGAUAGUCCGGCAAAAUGGUCGGCUGGCGCGUCAUCUUUCUGUACUAGUCAAGCCUAAACCCAAUGACCCUUACUGGCGUUUGCAUUCAAGAUCACAAAGAAUUAUGGACUGCAUACAUUUUAUGGGGGGCUGUUGUUUAGGCCCUGUGAUUGUGAGUGGUUUUGCCUGGUGGAUGACAGAGGCACAUGCAGAAGAAAAAGAUGAUAGUCUUGGAUGA
rnacentral:rRNA from 1 species